UACGUAGGGGGCAAGCGUUGUCCGGAUUUAUUGGGCGUAAAGAGCGUGUAGGCGGCCUGACAGGUCUGCUGUGAAAACUCGAGGCUCAACCUCGAGAUGUCGGCGGAAACCGUCUGGCUAGAGUCCGGAAGAGGAGAGUGGAAUUCCUGGUGUAGCGGUGAAAUGCGCAGAUAUCAGGAAGAACACCUAGGGCGAAGGCAGCUCUCUGGGACGGUACUGACGCUGAGACGCGAAAGCGUGGGGAGCGAACAGG
rnacentral:rRNA from 1 species